rnacentral:lncRNA from 1 species
GGAGACACAGGGGAGCGAGGUGCUCUGAAGAGUCCAAUUAGAGUGUAUCCCCACUGAAGCAGAGCUGACAGCCACAGCUGAUUGGCGAAAAGUUAAGGACCUUCAAAAAAUCCAAAUGAUGGGAUUGGAUCCUGGCAGAAAAGGCAGCCAAAUCACAGAUGUGGACCAGCAGAGGAUGCACGUGAAGGAAGCAGAAAAUCCCCUGAAGCUAGAAGCCCCGUCCUCAGCCAGCUGUCCAAGCACGAGGCGGCUUAUCGCCGUCGGUACAGUGACACGCUCUCGUCCCCUGCAGGCCCAGCAGAGUCAACAUAUGGACUUGGCGCUCAAUCACCCGAAGCCCAUUCAGCCACUCGACGUCAAUUAAUUACGUCUGCGUUAGAUGUGGCUCUCAUCGAGCAAAUAACAAUUUUACAAUCUAGUUUACUAUAAUCAUUAUUAAUAACCAGGUUUUGUCAUAAUCUAUGUAUUAAUCAUUUAAGUUAUGUAUUCGUUAAUUGUUAUUUAGAAUUGGUGAAAUUAAGUAGUUAUUAUAGGUUUACAAAUCCAGAGGAAAUAAAUAUUAUAUUUCAGUGGAGG